UGGAUUGCCACGGAUUCAUUGUGAUCCAACAA
rnacentral:piRNA from 1 species